GGGCGCAUAGCUCAGUUGGUAGAGCAGAUGACUCUUAAUCAUCGGGUCGUAGGUUCGAUCCCUACUGCGCCCACCA
rnacentral:tRNA from 1 species